rnacentral:rRNA from 1 species
UACGAAGGGGGCUAGCGUUGCUCGGAAUCACUGGGCGUAAAGCGCACGUAGGCGGAUUGUUAAGUCAGGGGUGAAAUCCUGGAGCUCAACUCCAGAACUGCCUUUGAUACUGGCGAUCUCGAGUCCGGGAGAGGUGAGUGGAACUGCGAGUGUAGAGGUGAAAUUCGUAGAUAUUCGCAAGAACACCCGUGGCGAAAGCGGCUCUCUGGAACGGUACUGACGCUGAGACGCGAAAGCGUGGGGAGCGAACAGG